CUGUGUGCAAAAUACACUCUGACUAUUUAUGUUUAACAAUUGAUAAGGCUGUGUUGCUAAAUCAAGAAGGAAAAUUUCAUUAACUUUGCACACGGCGAUGACGCUAUAACUUAGCUUAUAGUAAUUGAUCCAUAGUAUUGAACAACAGUCAGGCAUCGCAAGUUGAGAAAAUACCAAACAAAAAAAUUUACCAUUUUACUGCAAAAAUUCUAACUAAGAAUUAAUAAACAAAAUGGUCUGUAAGCAAUGCAUAGAUGCGUGCCGAUGCACCAGCACUAAGUGCGGCGACA